rnacentral:rRNA from 1 species
GGUUAAGUUAACAAGGGCGCAUGGUGAAUGCCUUGGCACUAGGAGCCGAUGAAGGACGGGACUAAAACCGAUAUGCUUCGGGGAGCUGUACGUAAGCUAUGAUCCGGAGAUUUCCGAAUGGGGCAACCCAGCAGUUUUAAUCAACUGUUACCACUAGAUGAAUUCAUAGUCUAGUUGGAGGUAAACGCUGUGAACUGAAACAUCUCAUUAGCAGCAGGAAUAUAAAGAAAUUUCGAUUCCCUAAGUAGCGGCGAGCGAACGGGGAACAGCCCAAACCAAAGUGCUUGCACUUUGGGGUUGUAGGACUGAACAUUUGAGUUACCAAAGAACUUGAUAGUCGAAGGAUUUGGGAAAAUCCGCCAUAGAUGGUGAUAGCCCAGUAGAUUAAAUCAAAUUCUCUCAGUUCAGGAUCCUGAGUACGGCGGAACACGUGAAAUUCCGUCGGAAUCCGGGAGGACCAUCUCCCAAGGCUAAAUACUACCUAGUGACCGAUAGUGAACCAGUACCGUGAGGGAAAGGUGAAAAGCACCCCGGGAGGGGAGUGAAAUAGUUCCUGAAACCAUGUGCCUACAAUAAGUCAGAGCGCGUUAAUGCGUGAUGGCGUGCCUUUGUAGAAUGAACCGGCGAGUUAUGAUCCCGUGCAAGGUUAAGACUAAAAAGUCGGAGCCGUAGCGAAAGCGAGUCUGAAAUGGGCGAUUUGAGUACGAGGUUAUAGACCCGAAACCAGGUGACCUAUCCAUGUCCAGGUUGAAGGUGCGGUAAAACGCACUGGAGGACCGAACCCGUGUAAGUUGAAAAUUGCUGGGAUGAGGUGUGGAUAGCGGUGAAAUUCCAAACGAACUUGGAGAUAGCUGGUUCUCUCCGAAAUAGCUUUAGGGCUAGCCUCGGAUUAAGGAUCAUGGAGGUAGAGCACUAUUUGGACUAGGGGCCCGUCUUGGGUUACUGAAUUCAGAUAAACUCCGAAUGCCAUUGAUUCAUGUCCGGGAGUCAGACGAUGAGUGAUAAGAUCCACCGUCGAAAGGGGAACAGCCCAGACCAUCAGUUAAGGUCCCUAAAUGUAUGCUAAGUGGAAAAGGAUGUGGAGUUGCAUAGACAACUAGGAUGUUGGCUCAGAAGCAGCCACCAUUUAAAGAGUGCGUAAUAGCUCACUAGUCGAGUGAUCCUGCGCCGAAAAUGUACCGGGGCUAAGCAUACUACCGAAACCAUGGAUGCGACCAUUAGGUCGCGUGAUAGGAGAGCGUUCUAAGGGCGGUGAAGCAAGAUCGUGAGGACUUGUGGAGCGCUUAGAAGUGAGAAUGCCGGUAUGAGUAGCGAAAGAUAGGUGAGAAUCCUAUCCACCGAAUGACUAAGGUUUCCUGGGGAAGGCUCGUCCUCCCAGGGUUAGUCGGGACCUAAGUCGAGGCCGAGAGGCGUAGACGAUGGAUAACAGGUUGAGAUUCCUGUACUAGUUAAGUGCGUUUGAGCAAUGGAGGGACGCAGGAGGCUAAGAUGUGCAUUCUGUUGGAUUAGAAUGUCCAAGCAGUAAGUCUUGUGGAGAGUCAAAUGCUUUUCACUUUAAGGACAAGCUGUGAUGGGGAGCGAAAUUUAGUAGCGAAGCGUCUGAUGUCACACUGCCGAGAAAAGCUUCUAGUGAGUACUUAACUACCCGUACCGCAAACCGACACAGGUAGUCGAGGAGAGAAUCCUAAGGUGAGCGAGUGAACUCUCGUUAAGGAACUCGGCAAAAUGACCCCGUAACUUCGGGAGAAGGGGUGCUGAUCGCAAGAUCAGCCGCAGUGAAUAGGCCCAGGCGACUGUUUAUCAAAAACACAGGUCUCUGCAAAAUCGUAAGAUGACGUAUAGGGGCUGACGCCUGCCCGGUGCUGGAAGGUUAAAAGGAUGGGUUAGCUUCGGCGAAGCUCAGAAUUGAAGCCCCAGUAAACGGCGGCCGUAACUAUAACGGUCCUAAGGUAGCGAAAUUCCUUGUCGGGUAAGUUCCGACCCGCACGAAAGGCGUAACGAUCUGGGCACUGUCUCAACGAGAGACUCGGUGAAAUUAUAUUGUCCGUGAAGAUGCGGACUACCCGCGACAGGACGGAAAGACCCCAUGGAGCUUUACUGUAGCUUGAUAUUGAGUGUUUGUACAGCUUGUACAGGAUAGGUAGGAGCCAUAGAAACCGGAACGCUAGUUUCGGUGGAGGCGUUGGUGGGAUACUACCCUCGCUGUAUGACCACUCUAACCCGCACCACUAAUCGUGGUGGGAGACAGUGUCAGGUGGGCAGUUUGACUGGGGCGGUCGCCUCCUAAAAAGUAACGGAGGCGCCCAAAGGUUCCCUCAGAAUGGUUGGAAAUCAUUCGCAGAGUGUAAAGGCACAAGGGAGCUUGACUGCGAGACAGACAGGUCGAGCAGGGACGAAAGUCGGGCUUAGUGAUCCGGUGGUACCGUAUGGAAGGGCCAUCGCUCAACGGAUAAAAGCUACCCUGGGGAUAACAGGCUUAUCUCCCCAAGAGUCCACAUCGACGGGGAGGUUUGGCACCUCGAUGUCGGCUCAUCGCAUCCUGGGGCUGUAGUCGGUCCCAAGGGUUGGGCUGUUCGCCCAUUAAAGCGGUACGCGAGCUGGGUUCAGAACGUCGUGAGACAGUUCGGUCCCUAUCCGUCGCGGGCGUAGGAAAUUUGAGAGGACCUGUCCUUAGUACGAGAGGACCGGGAUGGACAUACCUCUGGUGUACCAGUUGUGCCGCCAGGCGCAUCGCUGGGUAGCUACGUAUGGAUGUGAUAAACACUGAAAGCAUCUAAGUGUGAAACACACCUCGAGAUGAGAUUUCCCAUUCCUUUAUGGAAGUAAGACCCCUGAAAGAUGAUCAGGUAGAUAGGUUAGAAGUGGCAGUGCGGUGACGCAUGAAGCGGACUAAUACUAAUCGGUCGAGGACUUAACCAA